rnacentral:rRNA from 1 species
AUGGCGGCCAGUCGCUAUGAUGCGGAAGGAAGGAACCGACUGAAAGAAGACGACACUCCACUCUUGAGCCACUCCGCCCAUGCCCCCCUCUUGCCAAUGGCCAGUCCGGCCCCGUCGCCCACCCAACCAGCCUCCAUGGCCUCCCCCGCGCCUUGGAUGACCCCAUGUACCUCAAAUGAUCUGAUCCAGUUUGAUCCACCUGAGCUCAGAAUCCCCUGCUGGCCAAACAAGGCUUCAAUGGCAUGGCUUAACAUAGAAAAUAUUACAGAUUACUAUGUUGGUUUCAUUGCAUCUUUGUUGACUCUAGAAACUACAUCUUCGUUGACAAGAAAUGUGGUCCCAAGAUCGGGUCGAGGAAUUCUACCACCACGGUCCACUCAAAGAAUCCUUAUAAAAAGGGUAGCAAAGAAAAAAGAAACAGAAAUAGAAGAUAUGAAGUGGGAGAACAAGUUCUUUGUGUGGAACAUGAUUGUGGCUGAAGGUGUCGCAGCUGACAACCUCAUUCCUUUCAUCACUGAAGAAGUGCCUAAGGAGUUGCCCAUAAAUCUUCAGAAGAUAAGCCCAUGUGCUUCAGACGAGCUGAUCCGAUUUGAUCCUCCUGAACUCUGCUUCCCAUUCUUGCCCAACAAGACAUCGCUGUCCUCGGUUAAUAUGGUCAACAUGACAGAUUACUCCAUCUAUUUUAAGAACUAUGUCUGGAAAAAAAAUAAGGCGUGGUACGACACAGAACCAAGAAAUGGAAUUGUGCCACCACGGUCUACUCAAAGACUUGUGGUGAAAAGAGAAACAAUGGAGAAUGAACUAGAAGAUAGCGAGAGCAAAGACAAGUGCUUCCUGCACAAUUUCAUUCUUACUCAAGAUGUCAAAGCCAGUGAUCUCCUUUUGUUGAAUGAAGAAGGUACGGAGUUGCCCAUUGACAACCUCUGUGAUUGCGUUGUGGAGAAUAAAGAUGAUUACUACAUCGGUUUCAAUACAUUUGGAAAGGAAAAUAAUGCGGCAUUGUACAACACCGAGCCACCGUGUGGAAUCCUGUCCCCACAGUCCACACAAGAACUUGUGGUAACAAGGAUACAAAAGGGAGAUGCACUCGAAGAAACGCAGUGCAAAGACAAGUACAUUGUGUGGAGCAGCUUUGUGAAUGAAGGUGUUAACACUGUCGACCUGAAAGGAUGCACAUCUGAGAAGGAGAGUAAAGAGUUACCAAUAGUUUUCAUGGAGACAAACUCAAAUGAGUUGAUUCAGUUUGAUCCUCCUGAGCUCUUUCUCCCCUUGGUUCCAAACAAGAGUGUGUUGUCCUCAGUGAACAUAGUCAACCGUACAGAUCACUUCAUCGGUUUCAGUAUAUGCACCAAGAAAAGCAAUUCAGCAAAGUAUUUCACAAAUCCGUCAGAAGGAAUUCUGCCACCACGGUCCACACAAUUACUUAUGGUAACAAGCAUAACAGAGGAAAAGGAACUGACAGACAUGCAUUGCAAAGACAAAUAUAUGGUCUGGAACGGCAUUGUGAGUGAAGAUGUCAAUGAUGUCAUUGAUAGCAUGUCUGAGAUAAAGAUUACCGAGUUGCCCAUUGUUCUUACAGAGACAAGUUCACCGGCCUCAUACGAGCUGAUCCAUUUUGAUCCACCCGAACUUUUCUUCCCCAUCUUACCAAACAAGAAGGUGCUGUCCUCAAUUAAGAUAGUCAACAUUACAGAUUACAAUGUUGGUUUCAAUACAUAUAGCAGGCCAACAAAUGCGGCAUGGUGUCACACAGAGCCAGCAAGAGGAAUCCUGCCACCACAGUCCACACAAAAACUUAUGGUAACAAGGGAACGAAAGGAAGAGGCAUCAGAACAUAUGCAGGUCAAUGACAAGUACUUUGUGUGGAACAGCAUUGUGACCGAAGGUGUCAAAGACAGCGACCUUGGUGAUUAUAUGGUUGAAAAAGAGAGCAAGGAGUUGCCUAUUGUCCUUAGCAAGGCAAGUUCACUGAUAAGCUCAUUAACCUCAAAUGAGUUGAUCCAAUUUGAUCCCGCUGAGCUCCACUUCCCCUUUUCGCCGCAGGAGAUAUUUCCGUUCACAUUUGAUAUAAUCAACAUUACAGAUUUCAAUGUUGCUUUCACUGUAUAUAGCGUGGUAAAGAAUGCAGCAAGACGUAAAGAAUCAUUUAUGGAAGGAAUUCUGCCACCAAGAUCCACUAGAGAAAGCACGAUGGUAUGGCAAUUGAAGGAAAUGGGACCAGGAGGCAAGGAGUACGAGUUAGAAGACAAGAUAUUUUUUUGGAGCCGUCUUGUGACUGAAGGUGUCGAAGCUAGAGACAUCAUUGGUUAUAUGAGUGAGGAAGAGAGUAAAGAAUUGCCCAUUUUUUUUCACAAGGAAAGUAGUCCAUGUGCCUCAAAUGAGCUGAUCCAAUUUGACCCGCCUGAGCUCAACUUCCACGUCCUGCCAAACAAGGUGUGCGUGUUCUCAGUUAAUGUAGUCAACAGUACAGAUUACUACGUGGCUUUUAGUACAGGUUUGCCAAACAGCAAAGUGGCCUGGAUUGUGAGCGAAGAUGCUGAACCAAGUGACAUCAUUGGUGACAUGGAUGGGGAUUUGACCACUUUUAGUAAGGAAUUGCGCAUUGUUCUUCACAUGACAAACUUAUGCACCUCAGACGAGUUAAUCCAGUUUGAUCCUCCCCAACUACGCUACCCCUUCUUUCCAAACAAGAAGGCACCCAUGGUGUGCUUACUUAAAAUAGUCAAUGUUACAGAUUAUUGUGUGGGUUUCCAUAUAUUGGCCCACCAUGGCAAUUCGGCGAGCUACACUGCAAAUACACCGGUAGGAAUCCUACCACCACGGUCCACACAGGAAAUAAGAGUAAAAAGGAUAUCAAAGGAAAGAGAGUCGGGAGACAUGCUGUGCAAAGACAUGGUUAGUGCGUGGAAUGGAAUUGUGACUGAAAGUAUCAAAGUUAGCGACAUCAAUCAUUUCAACGAUCUUGCAGAGAGCAAGGAGUUGCCCAUUGUUUUUACAAAGCAAUUUAUCCAGUCUGUAACAACUAUGUUUGUUGAUAAUGGACUUGCUAAUGAAUAUACACCAGGAAGACUAUAG